rnacentral:rRNA from 1 species
UUUGGUGGCGAUGGCGGAAGGGAACCACACGUACCCAUCCCGAACACGGCCGUUAAGCCUUCCAGCGCCGAUGGGUGGUUUCCGGACCGAAGGGUCCCGGGAGAGUAGGACGCCGCCAAGC